GACGAACGCUGGCGGCGUGCUUAACACAUGCAAGUCGAACGAAGUGGCGAACGGGUGAGUUACGCGUAAUCCACCUGCCCUUCAGAGGGGGACAACAGUUGGAAACGAUCGCUAAUACCGCAUACUGAAGGAGGGGAUUGCGUCUGAUUAGCUAGUUGGAGGGGUAACGGCCCACCACGGCUAUGAUCAGUAGCCAGGCGGAGAGGAGGUAAUGCCACGAUGGGACUGAGACACGGCCCAGACUGCUACGGUAGGCAGCAGUGGGGAGUAGUCCGAAAUGGACGAAAGUCUGACGGAGCAACUCGGCGUGAGUGAGGACGGCCUUCGGGUUGUAAAGCUCUGUUAAUCGGGACGCGGUACCGGAAUAGAAAGCCACGGCUAACUACGUGCCAGCAGCCGCGGUAAUAC
rnacentral:rRNA from 1 species